rnacentral:lncRNA from 1 species
CUUCUGCUUGGGCCCCCCUGUGCAGGUAGGUUUUUGGGUUUUGGGGGGGGGGGGGGGGCAGCAGUCCCUGUCUGGGACGCCUGAGAUGAGCACAGGGAGGGCCCCCAGUGUUGGGGGGGUGUUGGGGGGCUUGGAGGGGGGCACAAUGACGCACCGUGUGUCUCUGCUUCUCUUCCCGCAGGUCCAGCUCCACCAGCAGUGCCAACACCCCCCUCGGUGGGGGGCCAGGGGGGUCCCUGCAUGGCCCCCCUGCUGCGGGUGCUGCUGUGGGAGGUGCGGGGGCUGCGGGGGCAGCUGCGGGCCCUGGCCCGUGCCCAGCGGCGGGGGGCUCAGCGCCUGGAGGCUCUUGCCCGCCGCCUGGGCCGGCUGUCAGCCCUCAGCCAGCAUCUCCUGGGGGUACCACGACUGCACCCACGACGAGGACGUCGGCGUGGUCUGCCAGGACCCCUGAGCACCGCGGCUCUGCCCACGGCCAUCCCUGCUGCCAUCAGCCGUCACACCCGCCCUCCUGCGACGCUUCCAGCGGGGGGACCCCAAACCCAAACAGGACCCUGCUCGCGGCUGUCUUUGCCCCGACAAAGCCCACCAGUGGGCGUGGGAGCUCCUGCUGCAGCCCCCGAUGCCCCUUGCCCGGUUAUUAAACGCGGAGCAGCCAUAACACUGAGAUGGGGCUGCGGGUUCUCAUGCUGUGCGCUGCCUGGGGGUUCGGCAUGGGGCAGGGGUCCCGGCCGCCCCAGGUGCGGCACCGUGCCCAGCCUGGCCCCCUGCCCGGGCCCUCCCCCGCGGCCCCCUGACCCCGUUAUGAAACAUCUCGUUAGCACUAAUCCCGCCAGCCACCUGUCCGCUCCCGGCACCCAGCCCGGCCGGGGGAUGGGACCGGCUGCCUGCCAGCAGCUCUCAGUCGUGGGGCCAGGGCCAGGCCUUGCCCUGCUGGGGGGUGGGCAGGUGGAAAAACUGGGGGCAGGGGGGCUGGAUGUGGUGCAAUAGGGACGAUGAGGGGCAGGGAGUGGGGGAAUGGCAGGCAAUGGAGGGCAAAGGGGCAAGGAGUGGGGUCGUGGAACCGGGGGGGCAAAGGGGCAGGGAGUGGGGUAAUGGGAACUGAGGGGGUAGAGGGGCAGGGAAUUGGGUAAUGGGGGCCACAGGGGGCAGAGGGGCUGGGCACGGGGCAGUGAGGAGCAGAUGGGCUGGGACUGGGGGAUUGCAGUGUAGCUGUGGGGCAGAGGGGCAUGGAGUGGGGC